GAAGAUCGUGGAAUGGAUAAGCUUGGAUGUGGCCAUCUUUAUUUGAUGCCUUGGUCUUUAAGAUAAUAUAAUUAUGCAUUUGUGUGUUGCUUGAUUCUAAAAAGUCCAAGGGAAUUCUGGGUUUUUAUUGACAUUCUUGUCUAUUGGAUUGCUACCCAUUUGGUCAGAUCUUUUCAACUCUAAACUUUUAAUUUUAUACAUAGGAUAGUCUCUUCAUCUUCUCCCCACUUCUUUAAUUUCAAAA
rnacentral:lncRNA from 1 species